rnacentral:rRNA from 1 species
GACAGGUCGGUCUCGAGCUGGGGUGGGCGCCGGGUGACUGAGGGGGGCUGCUCCUAGUACGAGAGGACCGGAGUGGACGCAUCACUGGUGUUCGGGUUGUCAUGCCAAUGGCACUGCCCGGUAGCUAAAUGCGGAAGAGAUAAGUGCUGAAAGCAUCUAAGCACGAAACUUGCCCCGAGAUGAGUUCUCCCUGAGACUUAGAGUCUCCUGAAGGAACGUUGAAGACGACGACGUUGAUAGGCCGGGUGUGUAAGCGCAGCGAUGCGUUGAGCUAACCGGUACUAAUGAACCGUGAGGCUUAACCUUACAACGCCGAAG